rnacentral:rRNA from 1 species
AAAACCGAUAGUUCCAGCAAUGGAAUUCUAUCCGUGGUGACUCUGAAUAACUUUGGGCCGAUCGCACGGUCUCCGUACCGGCGACGUAUCCUUCAAGUGUCUGCCUUAUCAACUGUCGACGGUAGGUUAAUUGCCUACCGUGGUUUUUACGGGUAACGGGGGAUCAGGGUUCGAUUCCGGAGAGGGAGCCUGAGAAACGGCUACCACAUCCAAGGAAGGCAGCAGGCGCGCAAAUUACCCACUCCCGGCACGGGGAGGUAGUGACGAAAAAUAACGAUACGGGACUCUUUCGAGACCCCGUAAUCGGAAUGAGUACGCUCUAAAUCCGCU